CCGACAUACUCAGGUGGACUUGUCAUCACUUGGGGUACAGCAUGAGGUCUAUCUACAAGUGUGCUCGGUUCACCCACCCUCGCUACCCCACUUUUUGGGAGGUGAAGGUUAUCCUUCGUGAGGAGCACGAAAGAGGAUGGGAGGUGAUGGCUGUUCACCAUGAUGUGGCGAUGAGGAGGACCAUGGAGUCCGGCAUUGCCGAGGCAACUAGGAGGGCACUUGAGGUCCUCUCUCACAAGGAACGGCCACGGCUACAGUACACAUAUCAUCGGUUCCUUCCAUCCAGAGCUAGUGGAGAAGCAAGAACCUUCAUAGCUACUCAUGAUGGAGUUGACAUGGCCACGGAUUUUCUUCGCAAGUACUUGUCGGCAACUCUCACCGCUUUGAAUGAAACAAACAACCACCUCUUUGAGAUUCAACGGGAGCUUCAUGAAGUUAGGUGGGAGAGAGAUGUGCUAGUAGCUUCCCCUCCCAGUCUCCAACACCCACGCCCGCAACACCUGAAAGCCUAGUCGCCGCGAGCUCCAGCACCGCCGCCUCUUCUCCGCCGUCAAGCGCCGCCUCCGGUGAGCUCCGGUCGCCGUGGACCGCUAAAACGUGUUCGCCGCGUCCUCCUCUUUCUUCUGGUGAAAUCCCCGCACCAAACUGAGCCCGGAAUGCCAUUUCGGCCUACUCCGGCGAUUCCGCCGCCGCUCGCCGCCGCCGCGAUUUCGUCGACGACUGCGACCGUCGGAUCUAGAUCUAACUGCUCGUAGCGGGUCAAUCCGACCGCGUAACGGUCAACCGUGCCACGCCGCACCUCUUUGGCUCUUAAGCUCCUGCCUUUUCCGCAAAUCAACCCGCGGUCCAGAUCGCGUUGAAAAAUAAUUCCAGAUCUGCCCUCGCGCUUUUCGGUUUAACCCUUGAUCUUUCUAAAAAUCAACCGGCCGUCCGUUUUGGAGUAUCUGCAAGAGCACCCAUCCCCCGCGUCAUGGCAUCGCAUCGUAUCAUCCCAUGGAGCCUAGGGAUGAGGAGGAAGAGGAAGACUACUACUUCCAGCACCCCGGGAUGACACUGACGAGGACGCCGUGCCCGUGGAGCAGGAGACAUCACCGUCACCAGCACCGGCACCAGCACCGGCACCAGCACCUGCACCAGCCCCGGCGCCCGUACUGGUCGUCGACUUAUCGGACGAAGAGCCCGAACCAGAUUUCGAGCCCGAGAGAUGGAUCAAGUGGGUGAAGGAAGACUAUGGCCAAGGAGUGCACAUGGCCGACAUACUCAGGUGGACUUGUCAUCACUUGGGGUACAGCAUGAGGCCUAUCUACAAGUGUGCUCGGUUCACCCACCCUCGCUACCCCACUUUUUGGGAGGUGAAGGUUAUCCUUCGUGAGGAGCACGAAAGAGGAUGGGAGGUGAUGGCUGUUCACCAUGAUGUGGCGAUGAGGAGGACCAUGGAGUCCGGCAUUGCCGAGGCAGCUAGGAGGGCACUUGAGGUCCUCUCUCACAAGGAACGGCCACGGCUACAGUACACAUAUUAUCGGUUCCUUCCAUCCAGAGCUAGUGGAGAAGCAAGAACCUUCAUAGCUACUCAUGAUGGAGUUGACAUGGCCACGGAUUUUCUUCGCAAGUACUUGUCGGCAACUCUCACCGCUUUGAAUGAAACAAACAACCACCUCUUUGAGAUUCAACGGGAGCUUCAUGAAGUUAGGUGGGAGAGAGAUGUGCUAGUAGCUUCCCCUCCCAGUCUCCAACACCCACGCCCGCAGCACCUGAAAGCCUAGUCGCCGCGAGCUCCAGCGCCGCCGCCUCUUCUCCGCCGUCAAGCGCCGCCUCCGGUGAGCUCCGGUCGCCGUGGACCGCUAAAACGUGUUCGCCGCGUCCUCCUCUUUCUUCUGGUGAAAUCCCCGCACCAAACUGAGCCCGGAGUGCCCUUUCGGCCUACUCCGGCGAUUCCGCCGCCGCUCGCCACCGCCGCGAUUUCGUCGACGACUGCGACAGUCGGAUCUAGAUCUAACUGCUCGUUGCGGGUCAAUCCGACCGCGUAACGGUCAACCGUGCCACGCCGCACCUCUUUGGCUCUUAAGCUCCUGCCUUUUCCGCAAAUCAACCCGCGGUCCAGAUCGCGUUGAAAAAUAAUUCCAGAUCUGCCCUCGCGCUUUUCGGUUUAACCCUUGAUCUUUCUAAAAAUCAACCGGCCGUCCGUUUUGGAGUAUCUGCAAGAGCACCCAUCCCCCGCGUCAUGGCAUCGCAUCGUAUCAUCCCAUGGAGCCUAGGGAUGAGGAGGAAGAGGAAGACUACUACUUCCAGCACCCGGGGGAUGACACUGACGAGGACGCCGUGCCCGUGGAGCAGGAGACAUCACCGUCACCAGCACCGGCACCAGCACCGGCACCAGCACCUGCACCAGCCCCGGCGCCCGUACCGGUCGUCGACUUAUCGGACGAAGAGCCCGAACCAGAUUUCGAGCCCGAGAGAUGGAUCAAGUGGGUGAAGGAAGACUAUGGCCAAGAAGUGCACAUGGCCGACAUACUCCGGUGGACUUGUCAUCACUUGGGGUACAGCAUGAGGCCUAUCUACAAGUGUGCUCGGUUCACCCACCCUCGCUACCCCACUUUUUGGGAGGUGAAGGUUAUCCUUCGUGAGGAGCACGAAAGAGGAUGGGAGGUGAUGGCUGUUCACAAUGAUGUGGCGAUGAGGAGGACCAUGGAGUCCGGCAUUGCCGAGGCAGCUAGGAGGGCACUUGAGGUCCUCUCUCACAAGGAACGGCCACGGCUACAGUACACAUAACGUCUGUUCCUUCCAUCCAGAGCUAGUGGAGAAGCAAGAACCUUCAUAGCUACUCAUGAUGGAGUUGACAUGGCCACGGAUUUUCUUCGCAAGUACUUGUCGGCAACUCUCACCGCUUUGAAUGAAACAAACAACCACCUCUUUGAGAUUCAACGGGAGCUUCAUGAAGUUAGGUGGGAGAGAGAUGUGCUAGUAGCUUCCCCUCCCAGUCUCCAACACCCACGCCCGCAGCACCUGAAAGCCUAGUCGCCGCGAGCUCCAGCGCCGCCGCCUCUUCUCCGCCGUCAAGCGCCGCCUCCGGUGAGCUCCGGUCGCCGUGGACCGCUAAAACGUGUUCGGCGCGUCCUUCUCUUUCUUCUGGUGAAAUCCCCGCGCCAAACCGAGCCCGGAGUGCCGUUUCGGCCUACUCCGGCGAUUCCGCCGCCGCUCGCCGCCGCCACGAUGUCGUCGACGACUGCGACCGUCGGAUCUAGAUCCGACGGCUCGUAGCGGGUCAAUCCGACCGCGUAACGGUCAACCGCGCCACGCCGCACCUCUUUUGCUCUUAAGCUCCUGCCUUUUCCGCAAAUCAACCAGCGGUCCAGAUCACGUUGAAAAAUAAUUCCAGAUCUGCCCUCGCGCUUUUCGGUUUAACCCUUGAUCUUUCUAAAAAUCAACCCGCCGUCCGUUUUGGAGUAUCUGCAAGAGCACCCGUCCCCCGCGUCAUGGCAUCGCAUCGUAUCAUCCCAUGGAGCCUAGGGAUGAGGAGGAAGAGGAAGACUACUACUUCCAGCACCCGGGGGAUGACACUGACGAGGACGCCGUGCCCGUGGAGCAGGAGACAUCACCGUCACCAGCACCGGCACCAGCACCUGCACCAGCCCCGGCGCCCGUACCGGUCGUCGACUUAUCGGACGAAGAGCCCGAACCAGAUUUCGAGCCCGAGAGAUGGAUCAAGUGGGUGAAGGAAGACUAUGGCCAAGAAGUGCACAUGGCCGACAUACUCCGGUGGACUUGUCAUCACUUGGGGUACAGCAUGAGGCCUAUCUACAAGUGUGCUCGGUUCACCCACCCUCGCUACCCCACUUUUUGGGAGGUGAAGGUUAUCCUUCGUGAGGAGCAUGAAAGAGGAUGGGAGGUGAUGGCUGUUCACCAUGAUGUGGCGAUGAGGAGGACCAUGGAGUCCGGCAUUGCCGAGGCAGCUAGGAGGGCACUUGAGGUCCUCUCUCACAAGGAAUGGCCACGGCUACAGUACACAUAUCAUCGGUUCCUUCCAUCCAGAGCUAGUGGAGAAGCAAGAACCUUCAUAGCUACUCAUGAUGGAGUUGACAUGGC
rnacentral:lncRNA from 1 species